rnacentral:rRNA from 1 species
UACGUAGGGUGCAAGCGUUGUCCGGAAUUAUUGGGCGUAAAGAGCUCGUAGGCGGUUUGUUGCGUCGGCUGUGAAAUCCCGAGGCUCAACCUCGGGUCUGCAGUCGAUACGAGCAAACUAGAGUGUUGCAGGGGAGACUGGAAUUCCUGGUGUAGCGGUGAAAUGCGCAGAUAUCAGGAGGAACACCGGUGGCGAAGGCGGUUCUCUGGGCCUUACCUGACGCAGAGGAGCGAAAGCGUGGGGAGCGAACAGG